GACAGUCUCAGUUCAGAUUGUAGGCUGAAACUCGCCUAUAUGAAGUCGGAAUUGCUGUAAUCGCAGAUCAGCAUGCUGCGGUGAAUACGUUCCCGGGCCUUGUACACGCCGCCCGUCACACCAUGAGAGUCGAUAACACCCGAAGCCUGUAGUCUAACCAUAAGGAGGACGCAGUCGAAGGUGGGAUUGAUAAUUAGGGUGAAGUCGUAACAAGGUACC
rnacentral:rRNA from 1 species